rnacentral:rRNA from 1 species
UACGAAGGGGGCUAGCGUUGCUCGGAAUCACUGGGCGUAAAGCGCACGUAGGCGGACUCUUAAGUCGGUGGUGAAAUCCUGGAGCUCAACUCCAGAACUGCCUCCGAUACUGAGAGUCUCGAGUCCGGGAGAGGUGAGUGGAACUGCGAGUGUAGAGGUGAAAUGCGUAGAUAUCUGGAAGAACACCAAAGGCGAAGGCAGUGUCCUGGGUGGUCGCUGACGCUGAGAGGCGAAAGCCAGGGGAGCGAACGGG